AAGGACCAGCUGAAAAACCGCUCUUUGCAAGGGAAGCGGUGUCCACGAUUUCCCGAUCGGCCUGCAAAGGCUCCACUGACACCUUGGAAAGUGGAAGUGAUGCGUGACUGUUACAGACGGAGACUGCAGCGCCAGGGGAUUCCCGAAACCCUUAUGCCUGCUGCACUCAAGCAGCUGAACCAUUUCGUGGUUGAGAAGCUGGCAGACCUUGAGAGGCUGGCAAAACGUGAGGUG